rnacentral:misc_RNA from 1 species
GCAUCGAUGAAGAGCGCAGCCAGCUGCGUGAAUUAAUGUGAAUUGCAGGACACACUGAACAUCGACACCUUGAACGCACAUUGCGGCUCUGGCUCACUGCCAGAGCCACGCCUGUCCGAGGGUCGGCGAACAAAUCAUCGCCACGGACCGAUUCGUUUCGGUCCCGGCGCGUUGGCGUGUCGCGCGGGCAUCAGUCCCGCUCGUCCGCCGUAGACUUCAGCCUCUCUCUUGGCUGCCAGCUGAAGUGGCGCAGGGACAGGGCUCGAACGGGCCUUCUGUCUAGUGCACGUCCCUUUGCGGGGGCGACCUUCUCCGGCAAUGCCACCUCGCUCGCCGACCGACUUCGGUCGACGGGAGAGAGAGCGCGGUCUAGACGCCGCGGAAAAAGAGACCCCUGCGGUCUCUCGCAUCCGACCUCGGAUCAGACGGGGAUACCCGCCGAAUUUAAGCAUAUCAGUAAGCGGAGGAAAAAAAACU